UGUAUCGCGCUACCCCACGGAAAACAACUGUGCUGAACAUGGCGCGGAAAAGGUAACAAGUCCCGACUCCCGUCUUCGCACCUCGAAUGCUGCGCGUGCGAGCAACCAGCUUUCAAAACGCAACACGAAACUUCGAAAGUCUCGUUUGUGAAAAGAACCCAGCGCUCAGCCAGAAGCGAUACGAAGAUCACUCAAAUUAUUAAUUUUUAUUUCGACGGAGGUAUCGAGUUUCGUACCGUGCCAUAGCCUAGGCUGCAUGCUAGCAAGACUGGACGUAGCAUGCUUGACGCUGCAGGCUAGUGCUCUUCCGGAACUCAAACUCAAAACAACCGACUAGCCGGCGGUAUUAUUGUGUUCCCUGCCGCCGUGGUAUACUAGUUGCUACUACAUUUUGUAGUAUUAUUGCGCCAAUUAUUUCAGUGGAACAGGUAUGUGCAAUGGCCGGCCGCCGGCCAUGCGCUGCAGGGUUCAUGGCUUUCCGCUUACAAAUGCAGAAAAUAGCGGAAGCAGAAACAAAUCAGGACUUUUGGCAGGAGAUAGAUGGCCAGCUAACUAGGGCGAGGUGCGUAAAGCCACUUGGACUUGGUCUUUGUUUCCGGUGGCAGGCAUGGAGUCAGUGCUGAGUGGAGGACGGACAGGCAUACGAAACACCAGCAGGUGUUGGAUACACGGGAGGUGGAGAAUUGAGCCUGCACUACUGCUGAGGUCAGCUACACGGAACACUGGUGCACAUGCCGCACUCAAUGACAAGCAAAUGGCCUUUCCACAAGCAACACUUGCAUGAAUAUGCCAGUUCAAGAAGGUUGGUCUCAUACAGCCAGACAGGACGGUUUCACUGAUGUGGACGCUGUGGACACACAGGUACAGCUACUCUGGAUACAACGACCUGUACGACCAAACGACCUGUAUGACUGGAAAGACCUUUACCACGCCAUCUGCCACUACAGGUCCCACUAGUUCUGCUGCUGCUGCUACAACAGCAACUCUGACAAAUUCUGCAACCUCACUGUCAGCAUCACCAUUUGACCUCAACAGCAUUGAAAAGCGUUGUAUUGCAAGAAGUGACCACUGAAUAACUGCAGAGAAGGGUAGAUCACUGGCUUACUACAGAACGGAUUC